rnacentral:lncRNA from 1 species
GAAAGGGGAAAAUGAUGGAAAAUUAAGAUUUUUUUUUCGUGAAACCUCUAUUCCAUUUGUUGCAUUGACCUGCGAAUAAUUCUAGCAAUAAGUACUCAUCACUUGACUUUUUUUUUUUUUUAAUUUUGAGAUGGAGUCUCCCUCUGUCACCCAGGCUGGAGUGUGCCAAUCUCGGGUUGCUGCAACCUCUGCCUCAUGGAUUCAAGCAAUUCUUAUGCCUCAGCCUCCCAGGUAGCUGGGAUUACAGGCAUGUGCCACCACGCCCGGCUAAUUUUUGUAUUUUUAGUAGAGAUGGAGUUUCACCAUGUUGGCCAGGCUGGUCUCAAACUCCUGACCUCAAGUGAUCCGCCUGCCUCAGCCUCCUGAAGUGCUGGGAUUACAGGGCAGGGGACCUCCUCGCCCACGACCUGCCCCAGCAGUUGGAGAGGCUGAAGAUAAAGAAAAUCAGCAAGCCACCAGUGGUCCAAACCAGCCGUCUGUUCGCCGUGGAUACCGGCGUCCCUACAAUUACCGGCGUCGCCCGCGUCCUCCUAACGCUCCUUCACAAGAUGGCAAAGAGGCCAAGGCAGGUGAAGCACCAACUGAGAACCCUGCUCCACCCACCCAGCAGAGCAGUGCUGAGUAACACCAGGCUCCUCAGGCACCUUCACCAUCGGCAGGUGACCUAAAGAAUUAAUGACCAUUCAGAAAUAAAGCAAAAAGCA